UACGAAAGGGGCUAGCGUUGUUCGGAAUUACUGGGCGUAAAGCGCGCUUAGGCGGGCUAGCAAGUUGGGGGUGAAAUCCCGGGGCUCAACCUCGGAACUGCCUCCAAAACUGCUAGCCUAGAGGAUGUGAGAGGAUAGUGGAAUUCCGAGUGUAGAGGUGAAAUUCGUAGAUAUUCGGAAGAACACCAGUGGCGAAGGUGACUGUCGGGCGCAUUUAUGACGUUGAGGUGCGAAAGCGUGGGGAGCAAACAGG
rnacentral:rRNA from 1 species